rnacentral:rRNA from 1 species
AACGAACGCUGGCGGCAUGCCUAACACAUGCAAGUCGAACGAGACCUUCGGGUCUAGUGGCGCACGGGUGCGUAACGCGUGGGAACCUGCCCUUAGGUUCGGAAUAACUCCCCGAAAGGGGUGCUAAUACCGGAUAAUGUCUUCGGACCAAAGAUUUAUCGCCUUUGGAUGUGCCCGCGUUGGAUUAGCUAGUUGGUAUGGUAAAAGCCUACCAAGGCGACGAUCCAUAGCUGGUCUGAGAGGAUGAUCAGCCACACUGGGACUGAGACACGGCCCAGACUCCUACGGGAGGCAGCAGAGGGGAAUAUUGGACUAUGGGCGAAAGCCUGAUCCAGCAAUGCCGCGUGAGUGAUGAAGGCCUUAGGGUUGUAAAGCUCUUUUACCCGGGAUGAUAAUGACAGUACCGGGAGAAUAAGCUCCGGCUAACUCCGUG